rnacentral:SRP_RNA from 1 species
GCCGGGCGCGGUGGCAGGCGCCUGUAGUCCCAACUACUCGGGAGGCUGAGGCAGGAGAAUGGUGUGAACCCGGGAGGCGGAGCUUGCAGUGAGCUGAGAUCCGGCCACUGCACUCCAGCCUGGGCGGCAGAGCGAGACUCUGUCUCAAAAAAAAAAAAAAAAAAAAAAAAAGAAUAUUUAUUUAAGAGGCGAGAGCUUCUUUUUUUUUUGAGACGGAGUCUUGCUCUGUCGCCCAGGCUGGAGUGCAGUGGCCGUAUCUCAGCUCACUGCAAGCUCCUCCUCUCGGGUUCACACCAUUCUCCUGCCUC